CUUAUGUUACUCGGGAGAAAAAUAAAAGGGCCAUGUAGCAACCAACUGUAGCGUGGUGUAAUGCUGUCCUGCCAAUUGCUGAGCCAUUUUCUUCUCAGGUUAUCUUUGUGUAUUUGAAUGCCCAUCUGGCCUGAAACCUGUCUACCAAUGCAUCAGAAGUUGUUGGUGAUAAGGUGAGGUGAAAGAUGGACAGAGAAACCUGCAAGAGGCUUUGAGAAUGCAGACUGCUGCUGCCUGUUUCUGGAUUUACCUAGCUGAAUGUGUCUUGUCCUGAACAUUGUUCUAUGAGCAUCUAUGUUCACUUCCACUACUUAGGUUCAUAUAAAUAUAUCUAUCAGCACUCCCACAAAUGGAAAUAUUUGUGUUUGCCCCAGACAUCGCUAGACAAAAGUCCCAGUAGCAUUUGUAAGAACUUUUUCAGAAAGGCAUUUAUAGAAAUCUGAUUCUAAAGCAGAAUAUUUGGCAUCAUUGAAUGAUAGAGAAGCCUUAAUUAAUUUCCAGAUUAUAUUUGGACCUGAUUAAUGGAACUUUUGACAUGAAUAUUGCUAGGAAUUUGACUAUAAACUAAAUAUGACACUCAUUUUCUUGUGUGAACAUAAAUAUAUGUAUCAUGAAACAAAAGAAAAUGUAUGCUAGUUUAGGAAAGAUUAAACUGUGUUUAUGAAAUCAGGUUUAUGACUCAUUUUAAACCUUGUACUUACUUGCUAUAUUUGAACAGCAUUGAUACACACAGAUGUAGUGACUUACAACGUGUCAAUGAACAUGCAUUCCCUAAUGUUUAAGUCAAGUAAAUACAUGUUCUCUCUAACCUUGCUAUUUUUCCAUGGUAAAAACUUUCAAAUGUGCAGCUUUUGGAAAUGUGCAGUGUACAUUCAUGUUCCCUACAGCAGUUCUUCUUCUGAGGGGCAUCCCAAAACUUCUCAUUCCCAGAAUAAACAUUAAUUCAUGGGUUCAACAUGAAGCAGAAAUCAGUUCAGUAAUUUGAAUGCUGAAAUGUAAUUCAAUGUAAUUCAAUGUGAAAUGAUAGUUUAGGAUAUUUCCAAUAAUAGGAACAGUUUUACUAGUUGUGUGGCUCACUAUAAUGGAUCAGGAUUUAAAGUAUGAUAAAGAUCAAGUAAACUAUUUAUUUGACUAGCAAUAGCCAGAUUUAGCUCCAAACCCACCAAUGUAGUAAAUGCUGGAAUUAAACCACAAUAUUGUAGAGAAUGGUGUAAUUACUGAAGCCACAAAAUCUGGGACAGCCUAAUCGUUUGGUUAGAUGGUGUGCUUUCAUAUUCUGGACAAACUAAUCUUGGGCUCCCAGCUGCUGGAAGCAUCUGUUCUAGCGGGGUACAGAGAUAAAUGCGAUAUGUCAUCUUCACUGACUGGGAGAUGAAAGAUGCUGCACUAGUCAAUUUCCUGGCACAUAUUUCCAUGAAAUAUUCCCUUAGUAUUCCAUUGGGGUUUCAUUGUUUACUAACUUUUUAGGAAAACAAACCUGUGGAGCAUUCAAUCAUUUAAUAACUAAAAUUAAACAAAUAACAAAGCAUUUUCCAGUAUGGCUCAUUUCAGUAUCAACCUCUGUCAUAUCUGCUUGACAAUUAAGAACCUCAUUCCUGUCAUUAUCUUCUCUCAUGGAAGCUAGUUGAAACCAGAACAGACAGUCAGACAGACAGACAGACAGACAGACACACACACACACACACACACACACACACACGUAGGGUUAACAGAAAUUCUUUUUCAUGAUUACAAGAAAAGGGUUGUUAGAUGCAUUAAAGUGGAGUCAAGAAUAAUUUACCAAGAUGUAUUCACUUCUCUGAUAUUUAUUAGAAGCUGUAGUCUUCAGGCUAUGUUAUUGUUACAGUAAACUUCUGGAAACCAAGUGAAGCCAGCAGUUUUUAAAAAAUGGACCUGUACAACCUUACAUUCAAAUUGAAGCCUACUUAAAUCAUCAGAGAACAUUUUCAUAUGUCACUGAAACCUGAUUUUAUUCAUUUAAAAUAGAGUUGCUUUCAGGUGUUGACUACAUUAGUAAUAGGUACUGGUAGUUUUAUAACAGCCAAGUAAGGAAAGUACUAACACUAACUUAUGUUUCAAAUAUGUACCAGCACCUCUAAAGACGUUUCUAUUAUCUACAUUUUCUCCAGGUUUUCUAUGUCAGUCAGAGGGAAAGAACAUUAUGAAUAUAAUAUGACAUAGCUACUAUGACUACUGAGUAUUUUUCUUUUUAUGGAGAUUAAGCAGACGAACCUUAUUGGUCAAAACUUAUUGCUGGAGAAAAUCAGUAAGAAUGCUAUAUAAUCAUCCCAGCAAUGAUCAGCAAAGAUAAAAUAUUUGGAAGAGGGAGUUAUAGUUACCUCUACUGAGUGUGAGUUUCCUUCUAAUUGUGUUAAGCUUAGAACUCUUUCUGUGAUUCCAAGACAUAAUGAUUUUCGGAGGAGAUUCCAAACAUGUGCAAGGAGACCUGGGAGGCAUGACGACCUAUUAAGCUCAAGAUGAAUGCAAAGAGGAUGGCCUGUGGUGAGCAGAUUCAUGCAGACCACAGCUCACCUUGGCAGGUCCUUCAUAAGCUUGGAGCUCCUCACUGUUAUUCCAAUGUCGCUAGUAUUGCACCAAAUCAGUUCUUAAGCUUUCUCCUUUCUCUUCUUCUAUCUUCCUUGGCCUUCUCUAAAUGCACAGCUCUCCUUUAUGUGAAAAGAACUCAAGCAUCCAUCUAGUCCAGACUACCUCACCAAAGCUCUGCAAGUCCUUUGUAUGUCUCAGCUGUAUAAAACGUUUCUCCUAAGACUCCUCUGAUGAGAAGUGAGUUCCUUACUCUAUGAGGGCCUAAAGCUGCCCAUCAUCACCUCUAACUACCAAAUGCUCUUUCCAUUACAGUUAUGGUAAAAUUUCAUCAAUUAAAAAAAAAACAGGAAAAUCAAUAAUAACAGCAACUAUCUGUGCAUUGUAUCUUAGUCACUACCUCUCCCCACAAUGGUCAUACACUCGGUUAUCUUUCUUGAAUGGUUAACCUCUGUUCUCAUGCCCAUCUCCAUAAUGGUGUCUGAUGCCUCAUUUUUGCACCUUUCUGUGUGGAACUCUCAGGCUUCCACCAGUCUUUCUGGUUUUCUGAUUACACUGUAGGCUGUGUAGAGGCCUUAGGGUGCUCUGAGAGCUUCCCAUGUGCAAGUGUAGUGUCUCAGGAAGAAUGUUCAUUGUGAAUGAAGGGAAGGGCUCUUUAUAAACCUCCCCACCCAAUGACUUGGAUCUCUCUUCUUUGUGUAUCAUAGGACAAUCUGACUUCAAACUGGGUUGGAUGAAAUCCUAUUGUCAGAGAAAGUAUUCCAAUGUUUGUUUCAACAUUUUUAUUUGUUAACUCUGAGUUAUCAUUGAGGAUCUACUUGGUUAAUCUUCCCAUAUGUUAAUAUAUGUUAAUAACAUAAUUAUACAUAUAUGUAUAAUAUAUUAGCAUAUUGUAUAUUAUACAUAUAUGUAUAUUACUUCUACAGAUCUCUAGGUUGUCAUAAUAAGACUAUAAGUCAUGUAUUUUCACCAAGAACCACAUAUCAA